GCCCAAUUACCACACACGCAAAAUAGAAAAAUUAAAACAGAACAAAAAAGAGAAAGGCAAAAAAUGAAGACGACGAGGCUGUAUAAGCCCUAACAGAUCGACUAGAAGUUCAGCCAUGGCGUCCGAUCCUAUGGAAUUAGUAACAAAUCCUCCGUCGCCGCCCAAAACCGUGUACAAGGAUCCAGAUGAUGGCCGCCAGCGCUUCUUGCUUGAGCUCGAAUUUGUCCAGUGCCUUGCUAAUCCGACCUAUAUACAUUUUGGUUGUCGAAUGGCACCGAUGAAGAUUGAAGACUGGCUUUUGGGACAAUAAAUUCUUUAGUGAUGGGGUUAACGUAAUUAUCGAUGUAAUUUACUUUCACAAAACUGUUCCCACCUAUCUCUUACUAUUUCUAGUCAAAUUGUUAGUUGUUUCACUAUCUUCACACUUUCUUGCUUUGAGUUUAUAAUGUCUUCCAACUAAUAGAAUGUUGCUGCAGUUGUUUAAACAUUUUUAGAGAGAAUAACUGACUGAUUAAUCUAA